GCGGAGAUGGUGGAAUGGCAGACACGCAUGUUUGAGGGGCAUGUGGGGCGACCCAUGGGGGUUCAAAUCCCCCUCUCCGCA
rnacentral:tRNA from 1 species